rnacentral:lncRNA from 1 species
AAAUUAAACAUAAUUGUCAGGAUACUCCUCCUAUUGUCCUAUAUUAUGUGAAACUGUUACCGUUUAGGAAAUUAAUAAUUUUUUCUUCAUAGUUUCAUUUAUGAUCUGAGCAAUACAAAUACAAAGUUACAAACGCGAAUUCAUUUAAGAAAACCCACUCUAAAAUACAUGAAUAAAAAUAAGACUCUUAACAAUUGAGUUUCCCCUAUUUUAAACUCUCAUUUACGAAUGACAAUAAUCGAUGUAUUUCUAUUUUUACAACUUUUUUGUAAGACUAUUUUUUUCACUCGGCUAAAUUAGUUUUUAGGUCUCUAUUAAGGUUACAGAAUGAAUUUUGAGACCUCCUUUCCACUUUUUAUUCCAAACUUCAUACAAUCCAAAAUAAAUCUUAUCAGUAUUGUUCCCUUUUCCUUUUGUUAUCGUAAUAGUUUUUGAUAUCAUCUUUUUGCCAUUAGUCUCAGUAGUCAAAUUGAUCUUUCUCCAUUGAGUAUUAUCUCCCCAUUUAGCCAUAAGAUAAAGUGGCGAAUCGCUCCAACCGAACGCAUCAGUCAUCAAUGACAUUGUAAAUCCAAUGUUGUAUGAUGUUUUCUUCGUUAUAUUAAUAUUAUCGAUGCAACCAGUUACCUCCAACCAAUUUACUUGCAUAAGUUCUGCAUCAUCCUUUCUGUAAUUCAAAUAUAUUUAAUAAAAACGUCAGCAUGCUAAAAACAACAAGAGAUUUAUGUAGUCCUAUAUUGUCUUCAUUAUGCAAAAUGUAGUCCUUUUAGAAAAUUUUAUGUUGAUAAAAAUAAAAUUAAAAAAAUAGUAUUCUUACUCGUUUUUGGGUAGCUUCCAAUAACGCUUAUCAUUUCCCCAAACAAUAUUAAGAGAUUUUGGAUAAAUUAUAUAACCCUGCAAGCAACAAAAAUAACACUAUUAAAUAAAUAACAUAACAUAACAUAAACUCGAUGGAUCGAUGGAUUAAGCAUAAGUAAUAAGAGAAACAAGAAUUGCAAUAUAGGAAGAAACUAAUCUAUGAAAUGUCCUGCACCUUUUCUGUUACAGAGAAUGUUUGAUUGCCUUGAUAGUGAAGAGAUUUUAAAGCCAUUUAACUUGCUAUAUAAGUUGAAUUGUAAAGAAUGUGGAGAUUUGAGUGCCUUAUAAUAAUUUUGGCUACAAAAAUCAGAUAUAUAUAGAGAGAUAGAAAUGGAAUCAAAUCACACGUAAUAAGAGACAUGCAUUUAGCAUGGAAUAUCAACCAAUCAAAUGGAAUAAAAUAUCAUGUCUUAUAUUCUAAUAUACGUUGGCAUGCAUUUUUCUACAAGAUUUUUUUGAAGGAAACGUUUUAUUCCAUAUGGGCUUACUUAGUGCGAAUAAAUCAAGAGUGUCACGCGCGGAAUUAGUGAUCAUGGUCGAUUAAAUUCAAUAGUUUUUAUUCAAUCAAUAUAUUCUUAUUUAAAAUAAUUAUUAAAUAUAUAUUAAGUUUAAAACUUAAUUAUAUUUAAUAGAAAGUCGUCAUUUUAAAAUUUUAAAAUUUAUAAAAUUAAAAUUAUGACUCUGCCUAUAUAAAUCAGAGCAAUUAUUUUGAACACGAAAAAUAAUCGAACCGACAACAAAAAAAGUUAGAGAAUAUACUCCUCACUAUAGUGAGUUGUCAAAAUUGAAUGCAUGAGGAUAGAGAUUGAGCCCAAGUUGAUUAAGGUUGAAUAAUAUAAUAUAUUACCCACAAAAAAAUUGGCAUUGUAUUAUUCUCACACGGUGAAUAUUAUUAGUUCACAUAUUCCACUUUUAGACGUUUUCUUCAUUGCCUUAUUAAAAAAAAAUGAACUAUCACUUGAUUCUAGUCGGCCCAAAUUACCUCGAGCUAAUUAAAGCCACAAGUUUCAGAAUAUUUUUUUUGCAAAGUUAUAGUUUAAUUUGACUUUUCUACUUAAUCUUAUAGUAUUUCCCUAAUUACUUGUCCACUUUUAAAUUGACACAUCUAUUAAGAAAACAAUAAUUGAGAGUUUACCAUUUUACCCCUAUUAAUUAUGAAGUUGAUGAAUUAAAAAUGUAAGAUCUUCAAGAAGUUAUAUUUUUUUUUUCAAAGUAAUUAAUUAAGGGUAUAAUAGGUAAAAAAAAUUGUUCUUUCUUGAUUUGUCAAAAUAAACAAGUAAUUAGGGAUAACUAAAAAAGGAAAAGUGGACAAGUAAUUAGGGAUAGAGGAAGUACUAAUGGUUUUUAAAAUUCACUUUUUUGCUUUGAUUUCUAAGUUCCAUCACUUGAUUAGUCUUAAUUUCAUUAUGUGAAAGCGGUAUCUGAAAAUCAUAAAUAUUUGAAUUUCAAAAUAUCAAGAAAUUUAAUAGACCUUAGUAACAUGUAUUCACAUCUUUUGCAUGUCUUUUAAAUAACUUUUGAUUUGGGGAAAGCUAGAAGCCGUUGUGGAGUAAGGAAAAUAAAUUUGGCAACAAUAUUUUUCCUUUCUUCUUGCUAUAUUUCGCUAUUGGUUAUGCAUUGUACUAUUGUGUUACCACAUACUUUAAUAAAUCAAGUAUUCAUGAUCCGUAAAAAAUAAAUUAGUGAGGCUAUAAUUAUUGUAGAAAAAAAAAUCGAUCAUUAGAAAAGUUACAACUCUAGCUCUCCUCAAUCAUAUAAUAUAAUUGAGAAAAUGCAAUUGUGUCACACUCACUCUAACAUGCUAAUUUGGGGAGUCAUUUUUCACUAAUAAUGAACAAGUUAGUGGCAAAUCAGAACAAUUCUAUAUAAAUCAUUCAUCAUAAGUAACUACAUCAAACAUAAUUGUUCCAAGAUACUCCUCUAACCGUCCCAUAUUUUGUGAACCAAACUAUUUUUUCUUUAAUUAUAAUUUUUUUCAAAGUUCAUUUUAAUGUUUUGAAUCAUUCACUGUAUUAGCUUGUAAUGAUUUUCGUAUAGCCAGCUAUCAUAAAGUUAUAAAUUUAUUUGUUUUAGCUGAUAUAGAAGAGAAGAGUGUACGCAGAGAAGUGGGAGGAAAAUCAUAAUUUCAUUCAUAACGUGAGCAAUACUAAUUAAAAUACAAAGUUACAAACCCAAAUUUAUUUAAGUAAACACUCCAAAAUACAUGAACAAAAAUAAGACUUCUAACAAUUGAGCUUUCGCUAUUCUAAAUUCUGAUUUACGGGAUGACAAGGAUCGACGUGUUUCUAUCUUACAAUUGGCUAAACUAGCUUCUAGGUCUCUGUUAAGUUUACAGAAUGAAUUUUGAGACCUCCUUUCCACUUUUUGUUCCAAACUUCAUACAAUCCAAAAUAAAUCUUAUCACUAUUGUUCCCCUUCCCUUUUGUUAUCGUAAUAGCUUUUGAUAUUAUCUUUUUACCAUUAAUCUCAGUUGUCAAAUUCACCUUUCUCCAUUGAGUGUUAUCUCCCCAUUUAGCCAUAAGAUAAAGUGGCGAACCACUCCAACCGAACGCAUCAGUCAUCAAUGACAUUGUAAAUCCAAUCUCGUAUGAUGUUUUCUUCGCUAUAUUAAUAUUGUCAAUGCAACCAGUUACCUCCAACCAAUUUACUUGCAUAAGUUCUGCAUCAUC